rnacentral:lncRNA from 1 species
GGAGGAGUCAUUUGGUGGGUUUUGAGCGAAAUCCAAUCUCUAGAACUAUAUAAUACACCAACCACCCCAUUUCAUAACGAACUUCGUACGAACCUGAAUCGUCCGAUUUCAAGUUCCAAUCGAUAUCGGAUUGAGUCCAAAACUUGGGGAACAUCAUAAUAUUGUGGGAGGAGUCAUUUGGUGGGUUUUGAGUGAAAUACAAUCCCUAGAACUAUACAAUACACCAACACCCCAUUUCAGAACGAACUUCGUACGAACCCUGAAUUGGCCGAUUUCAAGGACUAAUCGAUAUCGGAUUGAGUCCAAAACUUGGGGAACAUCA